rnacentral:lncRNA from 1 species
CUCAGCUGUGCCUGCCCUGUCACCCUGACCCAUCCAAGGCACCUCAGUUGCUGCCAGUGCUGCUUAACUGUCUGCUGCAAGAACCUGAAUUGUGUCAAGGAGGUAAAAAAGCCUCAAGAACACUGGAGAAUUAUUCAGAUCCAGGGAAUAAUGCAGGUGACCUCUAAAGGAAAACAGGGGUGAAAAGGAGUCCAGCAGGGGUAACCAGCCUGUUCCAUGGAGAGGGCUGGGCUUUGGGCAGUCACAGUCCAUGGACAGGAACGUGAGGACUCCAGCUCCUUUCAUCCCCAGCAGCACUCCUGGGGCACGGACAGGGCAUGCAGAGCUCAGAGGCACACGAGACCUUUCUGUAGCAGCACCCCAGCAGCAUUCAAGCCUGUCACAAGGGGUCAGCAAGAGCAGUGUUUUCCACUCAGUUCCUGAUUCUCAGCUCUCCCGGCUGACUCAGGGAAAGACCUGGCUGCCCCAGGAGCAUUUGUUUCCAGGAGAAACUCCUUUUCUUUCAGGACACGUGAGUGUCUCCCACCACAGAUCCCCUGGGGUAUGAGGUAAAUACAGAUAGAGACAGAUACAGACAAAUAGAUGACAUGGAAUGGUUUGGGUUGGAAGGGAUGUCAAAUAUCAUCCAUUUCCAGCCCCCUGCCAUGGGCAGUGACACCUUUCACUAGACCAGGCUCAGAGCCACAUCCAGCCUGGCUCUGAACACUUCCAGACUGGAUGGAGCCCUGAGCAUCCUGUGGAGAUGGAUGGAGCUGGACAGAGCUCUGUACACAUCUCCAUUUAAACACUGAUGUAUGUAUCUCUCUGCCUGUGUGCACCCAUGUGAAUUGACUAUGGUGUCAUUGCUAUCAUGAAUCUGUAAUUAAGUCACUGUUAUAAUUGUAGCUACUCCUAUUGAGUCACUUUUUAAAUGUUAAAUUAGUUGAUGAUUAAGAGUUGCUAACCCCUUCUGAACCUUUGCCUUCUCGUAUCCAUAUACUUUACCCCCUUACCCUUCUGCAUCUCUGGUCUUUGUGUAAAUCAUCCUAAAUUGACUCUAAUCUGAUUUUCUUACGUGUGCUUCAUCCAUGUCCUAAGUAACAGAGUCACCUUUGCCACUGAACUCUAAUAAAAGUUGCACUCUCAUAAAUUCA